UGUUUAUUUUUUUUUUUUAUAAAGCAUUGAAAAGAUAUCUUGAUUUUAAGAUUAAAGGGGGCGUGAUGUACCACGAUAGGAAAAAGGACACAAAAAUAUUGUUUGAUUUUUUCAUUCCUUAAAGAAAACUUUUUUGUAGAAAAAAUUUAUAGUCAUCUAUAAAAAUAUAUAACGAACUGAAACAUCUCAGUAGUUUGAUAAAAAUCAACCGAGGUAUUGUGAGUAAUGGCGAGUAAAAACAAUAAAAGUAAUACAAAAUUAUAGUUAAAAAGUUUAAAAUCCCAGAAGAAUUUAAUCUGUAUGUAUUUUUCUUAAUUUUGUAUUAGUAAAGCAAUAUUAAUUUAUUUUGUUUUAAGAUUGGGGUUCCACCCUCAAAACUUUAUAUAUAUCUUAAAAAUCGAUAGCAAACUAGUACCGUAAGGGAAAAGAUGAAAGAUUAGAACUUUUCGUAGAGUAGAAAAAAGAGCUUAAAAUUCAAUGCUCCAUAUUAGUUGGUGCUUUAAAGUAACAGCUUACCUUUUGCAUAAUGAGUCAGUGAGUUUUUUUUAUAUGCAUGCUUAAAUGUUAAAUCUUAGGCUUAUUAAUUAUAAACAGUUUAUAAAAAAAGACCCGAAACUAAGUGAUCUAACUAUGAACAGGUUGAAAUUAGGAUGGUAACAUCUAUUGGAGGACCGAACCCUUAUAUGUUGAAAUAUAUUGGGAUGAUUUGUGGUUAGGGGUGAAAGGCUAAUCAAACUUAGAUAUAGCUGGUUUUUUGCGAAAUCUAUUUAAGUAGAGCGCUUUAUAAAAAAUAAUUUAGGGUAGAGCACUUUGUUUGUAAGGGAGAUUUUUUUAUCUUACUAAAUUUACAAAAACUCCGAAUAUAUAAAAAUUUUUAUAAGCAGACGGACUAUGAGCGCUAAGGUUCAUUGUCAAAAGGGAAACAGCCCAGAUUGUUCGAUAAGGUCCUAAAAUAUUUUUUAGUAUGAAAGAAGUGGAAAAAUUUUAACACUUCAUUAGUAGGCUUGGAAGCAGCCGUUUAAUAGCACAAGCGUAACAGCUUGUGGGUUGAGUUUUUAGGUGCUGCAAAUGUUAGGGUAUGUAAUUUGUACCGAAUCGACAAAUUUAUUAAUGGUAGCAAAAUAUCUUGUAUUUUAUAAUAUAUAAUUCUUAUUAUAUAACUAUUAGCACUUUAUAUUAAAAGAUAUUUUGUAAAAAAUAUUAAAAAGAUCAAGAGUAAUAAUACUGACAUGAGUAGCGAUAAACAAUGAUAAUAUUAAGAAACAUUGUCGCCGUAAGCCUAAGGUUUUCUUGGUAAUGUUAAACUACGAUGAAAUAAUCGGACCUUAAGAAAAAAGCGCAAGCUUAAUUUAAAAGGAAUAAAGUUAAAAAGUGACAAAAGAUAAUUAAUAUAAAAAAGUAUGGGCUUUUUUUUUUAUUAUAAUCUUUUCAGGAAAAAGCUUAACAAGUUGUUUCAACUUGAUAAUUCCGUACUAUAAACCAACACAGGUGGGCAAGUUGAGUAAACUAAGGCGUUUGAGAGAAUUAUGGUAAAGGAACUCGGCAAAAUGACUCUGUAACUUCGGGAGAAGGAGUAACUAAAAAGGAGGAAUCUUUUUUAGUUGGCACAAAAUCGGGGGUAGCGACUGUUUACUAAAAACACAGGUCUCUGCUAAUUCGUAAGAAGAUGUAUAGGGACUGACACCUGCCCGGUGCUGCAAGAUUAAGGGGAGAGGUUUAGGCUUCAAACUUAAGUACCAGUAAACGGCGGCUGUAACUCUGACGGUCCAAAGGUAGCGAAAUUCCUUGUCGGGUAAGUUCCGACCUGCAUGAAUGGUGUAACGACUUCCUCGCUGUCUCUACCAUAACCUUUGUGAAAUUAAAAGAUCUGUGCAGAUGCAGAUUAUCUACAGCUAGACGGAAAGACCCUGUGCACCUUUACUAUGUGUAUACACUGUAAACAAAAAAUUUUUGUCUAGUCAAGGUGGGAGUUUAAACUUUAUAAAAGUUUAAUCAACUUUGGAAAACCACUCGUAAAUUUUUUUUUUGCUUAUUCAUUAUGAUGAUACUGUAUAUGAGGUAGUUUGACUGGGGCGGUCGCCUCCUAAAAAGUAACGGAGGCGCAUAUAAGGUAGGCUCAUUGGGUAAAUUCCCUAGUAGAGUGUAAUGGCAUAUGCUUACUUGACUGUGAGAUUAACAAAUCAAACAGAAACGAAAGUUGGUCAUAGUGAUCCGGUAAUUUUGUGUGGAAAAAUUAUCGCUCAACGGAUAAAAGGUACGCCGGGGAUAACAGGCUAAUGACUCUUAAGAGUCCCUAUCGACGGAGUCGUUUGGCACCUCGAUGUCGGCUCUGCAUGUCCUGGAGCUGAAGGCGGUUUCAAGGGUUCGGCUGUUCGCCGAUGAAGAUGCUACGUGAGCUGGGUUUAGAACGUCGUGAGACAGUUCGGUCCCUAUCUGCUGUAGACGUUAGAAAAAUUGAGAGACUUAGACCCUAGUACGAGAGGACUGGGAAAAGUGAAUCACUGGUAAACUGGUUGUUUUGCCUAAAGCACUACCAGAACGCUAAAUUCAUAAAUGAUAAUUGAUGAAAGCAUAUAAAUAAGAAUCAUAUCUCAAGAUAAAUUUUCUUUUAAAAUGUUAUAGACUAUAACAUGUAUAGGCCUUUGGUUUAAAAUUUUUAAAUGUUAGCUAAAAGGUAACUAAUAAUUUAUUGAAAUAAUAAACAAAA
rnacentral:rRNA from 1 species